rnacentral:rRNA from 1 species
CGAACGGAGCUGUUUUCUCUGAAGUUUUCGGAUGGAAGAGAGUUCAGCUUAGUGGCGAACGGGUGAGUAACACGUGAGCAACCUGCCUUUCAGUGGGGGACAACAUUUGGAAACGAAUGCUAAUACCGCAUAAGACCACAGUGUCGCAUGGCACAGGGGUCAAAGGAUUUAUCCGCUGAAAGAUGGGCUCGCGUCCGAUUAGCUAGAUGGUGAGGUAACGGCCCACCAUGGCGACGAUCGGUAGCCGGACUGAGAGGUUGAACGGCCACAUUGGGACUGAGACACGGCCCAGACUCCUACGGGAGGCAGCAGUGGGGAAUAUUGCACAAUGGGGGAAACCCUGAUGCAGCGACGCCGCGUGGAGGAAGAAGGUCUUCGGAUUGUAAACUCCUGUCCCAGGGGACGAUAAUGACGGUACCCUGGGAGGAAGCACCGGCUAACUACGUGCCAGCAGCCGCGGUAAAACGUAGGGUGCAAGCGUUGUCCGGAAUUACUGGGUGUAAAGGGAGCGCAGGCGGAUUGGCAAGUUGGGAGUGAAAUCUAUGGG